rnacentral:lncRNA from 1 species
ACCUCAUUGCUAUCUGAAGGCAGACCUUACCUAUUUUUAUCUAUAGAGGAAACCUUACGUAACUUCUGCAGAUGGAUUUUUUCAGACUUUUUCUUCUCUUACCUGUUAAACAUCCUUGGAGGGAAUGGUCAGUGUUCUUUACAGCAGGCUGACCUCUAUAAGUAAUACACAACAUUAAAUUCUAGGGUGCUUUAUAUAUAGAACCCACUCUCAUGGUCAGAUGUACUUUGUAAAAUGGUUUCUAUGUAGUGCAUACUUAAACUAUAUCAUGCACUUAGAUAUAGUGAUUGGACUGAUUGUUUCCUGGAAAUUGUUCCAUAAACUGUACUGUAUUUUAAUUAUACUGGCAAUGAUUUCUGUGGAAUUAUACUCCCCAUGUUUGUCCCAGAUUGACAAAGUCUUAUGUACCAAGUUUUCAUGCUUAUCUCUUAGCGUGGUUCACUUCCCUAACUAAUCUAAAGGGACACCCUCAACUACAGUUGGAUCCCUAAGAAGACUAGAAUGUUCUGUUCAUCAAAGAAUUUAGUUUUAUUGCACUUCUCCAUGCCCUUUUAUUAUUUGAAUCACACAUUUCAUAUUUGCUAUACUUGAUCAGAACGUUCUUUGCGAGAGUAAACUACUCUAUGCUGGGCUUUUUUGAGACUUCUUUUGUAAAAAUAUUUAAUUUUAAUCUGUCUUAACCCCAGGUAUACUCUUCACACAUGCGGGGGGAAAAUAGUUCCAUUCUUCACCAAGAUAUCAAAACAGAACUCUCUAGGUGACAUAGUAGAAUUGUAUUUCACUAAAAGAUUUUGGUUCUGCACGUAUCAAAUCAUCCUCAGCAGCAAAGCUUCCGUGUUGCUGUUGAUGAUCCAUUGAACCCCAUUUAAAUCAUUCCAGGGCUUCCCAAAUCCACCUUCCCCAAAUCCACAUACCGACAAAUAUAAAAUUGAUAUGUUUUCCAAAACUUAGGAAUCUCAUAGCUUUCAAAUGGUCUGAAUAUGUGAAGGCAUACAAAUCCAAUUCCACUAUUUGGUCGAGAAGCAUAUUUAUGCAGUCCUUCAAUAGGUUGCAUAAAAUAUCUUUCACUUUGUAUGUAUAACUCUUGUAAAAUUAUCAUAUGUUUAAACUGGCCCAUAAUAGUUUCUUUCUGUUAGAAUUAUAGGAAUGGAAAUGGAGAGGAGCCUUGCCACGCACUCUGGUUGAGUCAGCUUGACAGGCCGAGAGGCCUAAAACUCACGAGGCAAAGAGUUUCACGGAAACUCACCUCCUGGAAUCUGGCGUUCUCUCUAAACUAUACAUUAAUAUUCCAUUCCCGAGUUAGUCUGGUGUAUGGAUCCAUGUGCUCUCUUUUAGUAUUAUCCUAUUAUAAGUGCCUUUUAGGAUUGAAUUCUCACAUAGCCAAGCCUUCACCAGUGUUCCAACAGUCCUAGAAAGUCCUAGAGCAGACAAUGGGCUUGGAAUUCAGUAAGAAUGUUGCUAUUCAGUGACAUUCAGAAUUGCCUCUGGCAUUACACUAUCACUUUGAAUAAAAGCUAAGUCACUGCUCUACACAAGAAUUUACCAUCAUCUAGCAAGAAGGAAGUUUGAGACCUAAAGAGAAACCAGAAUAGAUACUUAGAACUAGAGAUAGCUGAGUUACACCCAUACACAGGUAUUUACAAUGGCCUAGGGGAAAGGUGGACUAUACAAUAGACUAAAAUAGGAACUAUGGCAAGGGCACGAAGCCUUUGACCCUGGCUUCUAAGAUUAAGUGAAUCUUAGGUGCAGCUCUUUUUGAUCCCAGUUGUUAACAAUGAAUUCUAUCCCAGGUGGUUCCUGUUAGACCUUCUGUGUUUAUAUUCCUGUUUUGUGUAAGAAUCCAGUAACCUCUUUGUACCUUGCUGGUGUGUCACCCAACUUCCCUAUUUUCUUCAGCAUAAAAAGUUUGAUGCUCGAUUUGACAAAUUACAUUCAGAUUCUACACAACCUCUCCUAUGUGCAUCUGUCUGUCAUUCCAUCCAAGGCUUUGCCCACCUGCCCCAGAGACCCAUUCCAAGCAGACAAAAGAAUAAAGAGGGUCUGAGGCAGAGCCUGAAGAAAAAAGGUCCAACAACAGGCCCAAAGAGGGAUCCAGCUCAAGGGAGGUCCAAGGGCCUGACACUAUUUUUUUUAAAUAUUAAAUAUUAAAUAUUUAUUUAUUAUUAUAUCUAAGUACACUGUAGCUGUCUUCAGACGCACCAGAAGAGAGUGUCUCAUUACAGAUGGUUGUGAGCCACCAUGUAGUUGCUGGGAUUUGAACUCAGGACCUUUGGAAGAGCAGUAGGUGCACUUAACCCCUCCCCCCACCC